UACUACUUCCUUACGGCAACUACAGACUUUUCGACUAAGCAUGGAAAUUAGUUUAUCAUCAAUCUAGUUACCAAGAUUGAAUACGAACGAAGAGCUACUGCAGGAUUGCUAUAGCUUUAGCUUUUUCUGGUCUUUUUGAGAAAAAGCUUUUUCUUGUCUUAGUUCGUAGAAUGGAAGGCUUUUUCCAUGCAUUAUUUUUUCUCAUCAUUCUGCUACAUGUGAUCUCCAUCGCCCGGUGCACUGCCGCCGCUGCCGCCGGGAUCAAAGAAGCUGCAUCCGACCGCGCCGCCCUCCUCUCCCUCAAGUCCCUCGUCGAGGACGAUCCGUUCGGAGCGCUCUCCUCGUGGAACAACGGCUCUCUUCACUACUGCAGGUGGCGCGGUGUCUCCUGUGGCCGCCGCCAUCCCAACCGGGUCACGGCCCUCGACCUCACGUCUCUCCGCCUAGCCGGUCUCAUAUCGCCCUCCGUAGCCAACCUCACAUUCAUCCAGAGGAUCGACCUGUCCGACAACAUGCUAGACGGGAGCAUCCCAGAGGAGCUAGGAAGCCUACGCCGGCGGCUGCGAUAUCUCAACCUGAGUGUGAAUUCUCUUCGCGGAACGAUCCCGUCUUCGCUCGGCAAUUGCUCAAAUCUUCAACUACUCAACUUGACAGAUAAUAAGCUCAAUGGUGAGAUCCCGCCGACCCUAUCGCGUCUUUCCGGUCUUAGAAAGCUUAUCCUGCGUUGGAACAUGUUACAAGGAGCAAUCCCUUCCAAUCUAACACUGUGUCAAGAGCUUCAGGUUAUUGAUCUAAGUCAUAACAUUCUCACGGAAGAAAUUCCACCAGAGCUUGGCUAUCUCCAAAAGCUAAGAGGGUUAGCACUCAGCUACAAUAAUCUUACAGGAGCCAUCCCUGCUACUUUGGGCAAUCUUGCUCAGCUUCAAUACCUUUAUCUACAAUUCAAUAGCUUUAUUGGACCCAUCCCAGAUUCAAUUGGCAACCUCUCCUCCCUACAAUUUCUUCUUUUAGAUGAUAAUAGCCUGUCAGGACCCAUGCCUCCAUCCUUUGGUAGCCUUCUCUCCUUGAAGAUACUUGAAAUCGAAUUCGCUGGUCUCACAGGAACCAUUCCGCCCACUCUCACAAAUCUCUCCGCUCUGAACGAGCUUGCACUACGAGGAAACAACCUUCAUGGUGAAAUUCCUCACUUUGCGAAACUUCCAUUCCUCUCUAUCUUGGACUGUGCUGUUAAUUAUCUCUCAGGGACGAUCCCAAUCUCGCUCGGACGACUUUCAUCUCUCCAAUAUCUCAAUCUCGGGAUGAACAACUUAACAGGGGAAAUACCGUCAUCCCUUUACAAUCUAUCAUCCCUGACGGCCUUAGUACUCCCUCAUAACCAACUCAAGGGAACUCUACCCUACGAUAUCGGAAAUGCACUUCCGAACCUUCAAUUGCUUCUUAUGUAUGAGAAUCAGCUCGGGGGGCGAAUUCCGGCAUCCUUGUCCAAUGCUUCUGAGCUCAACAACAUUGAGCUAUCGGUCUAUGCAUUCCACGGCACGAUACCGCCGAGCCUUGGAGCCUUGCAGAGUCUCUCGUGGCUCGAAUUGUUCAGUAAUCUACUCGAAGCCAAAAAGCCUAGUGAUUGGAGCUUCGUUACAGCAUUGAACAACUGCACCAGUCUCCAAGUCUUGGAUCUAGGAGACAAUCUACUUCAAGGCAUGAUGCUCAAAUCAAUAGUCAAUCUUUCCACUAGUCUUAAUAUUUUGGCACUAGAAGACAACCAACUAUCAGGAAUUAUACCUGCUGAGAUUGAGAAGCUCAUCAAUCUAACUGUCCUUGACGUGAGUGGUAACAACCUUCGAGGCACCGUUCCCGUAGAAAUCGGUCAUCUUAGGCAACUACAGCUUUUAGAUCUGUCAAAUAACAUGCUUUCGGGCGAAAUUCCUCCCACUUUGGGCAACCUAACACGAAUGGACAAACUCUAUCUCGACAGCAACGAAUUUGAAGGAGCCAUUCCGCCGACAUUAAGCAACAUGUUAAUGCUAGAGUUGUUAAAUCUAUCAAAUAAUAGGCUAAGCGGUAGCAUUCCGAAAGAAGUUUUGAGCCUUUCGUCGCUCGCGAGCUUCCUUGACUUGUCACAUAAUUUACUAAACGAUUCAUUACCAUUAGAAGUGGGCAACUUGAUAAAUAUCAGGGAGCUUGAUCUCUCAAAUAAUAGGCUCUCUGGUGAGAUUCCAGACACCAUUGGCAAAUGCGCAAUCUUGGAAAUCCUUCAUCUAGCGAAUAACUUAUUUCAAGGGUCCAUUCCUUCUUCCUUGAGCAAUUUAAGAGGGCUCAAGGAGCUUGAUGUCUCAAAAAACUUCUACUCGGGCCAAAUACCCGCAUUCCUUGAUGAGCUCCCAGAUCUACGAAACUUGAAUCUCUCCUUCAACAGUUUUGAGGGUCGAGUGCUGAUGAAAGGGGUUUUUACGAAUGUGAGCGAAGUCUCGCUUAUCGGAAACCCUAAACUCUGUGGCGGAAUUCCAGAAUUACACUUGCCGAAAUGCACUUCAGAUGCCUUUGCAGCAAAACGUCACUCUGAUUAUAAACUCAAGGUAAUACUCAUUCCCAUAGGUGGAGCAAUUUUGUGUUUGAUUAUAAUCAUGUGCUUGCGUGGGAUACAUCACUUGAUAAAAAACUCCCGGAGAAAGCCGAUGUCAAGGUCUUCCUUAAGAAACCGACACACGAAAGUAUCUUACAAUGAGCUCUUCAAGGCUACACAUGGGUUCUCCUCAGAUAAUCUGAUCGGCAUGGGCAGUUUUGGGUCGGUUUAUAAAGCCGCCAUGAACUAUGAAAAUGCCGACAUUGUUGCGGUGAAAGUGUUUAACCUUCAACAGCAUGGGGCUUUCAGGAGUUUUAUGUCUGAAUGUGAGGCCUUGAGAAGCAUUCGACAUCGAAAUAUUGUCAAAAUUCUUACAUCAUGCUCUAGUUUGGAUCACCACGGUAACGAUUUCAAGGCCUUGGUUUUUGAGUACAUGCCUAAUGGGAGCUUAGAAGAGUGGCUACAUCCAAAUGCACGCGGGAAUAGGCCAUUCAGAAGCCUAAGCCUAAUCCAGAGGUUGAACAUAGCCAUCGACGUAGCCUCGGCAUUAGAGUAUCUUCAUCACCGAGGGUCUGUGCCGAUUGUUCACUGUGAUCUUAAGCUGAGUAACAUCCUUCUAGACAACGAAAUGACAGCGCACGUGAGCGAUUUUGGGUUAGCAAAGUUUCUGCGGCAACCGCCUGAUGAAUCAUCUCGGUGUUCAUCUACCGGCACUGUGGGGAUCAAAGGAUCUAUUGGUUAUGUUCCUCCAGAGUAUGGAAUGGGCUGUAAACCGUCUAGGCUCGAUGUGUACAGCUAUGGAAUUCUUCUGCUGGAGAUGUUCACUGGAAUGAGCCCCGUCGACGACAAGUUCAAAGACGGACUGAGCCUUCGUGGAUAUGUUCGUGCUGCUGCUGCUGCUUCUCCUGAACAUGUCAUGGACAUCGUAGACAGAAACCUGCACUCAGCUGAUAAUGAUAUAGCUUAUCGAGAAGAGCGUGUGCGAGAUUGCGUAGUUUCGGUGUUCGACUGCGGUCUCUCGUGCUCGAACGAAUCGCCAUACGAACGAUGCGACAUGACAAAAGUCUUAAAGGAGCUGAGUGCAGCAAGAGAGAGGUUUCUUAGGGGUAUACCCUAUUUAGACAGGAAUGGAAAGGGUUACAAAAAGUCGAAGAUAAAAGGCUAGCUACAGCCCGGAUCAACAAAAGGGUCGAAACACUGACCGAAACACAAACACGAUCAGCACCUACACCCAGACUUUACAAGACAGAAGAAAGUUGCUGGUGACCUCAAGUAAUAAUAGCGUUUCCAAUUACCAAUCAUUCCCUCAUCCUCUUAGCUCUGAUGUCCACAGAUUUACCAAGUUAUGAACUCUACUUGCCGUAUCAUCCGUUCGCGUAGAACUCCUUGGAUGAUCCCAUCGAUCAGGUAAAUCACCUGGGUGUGUAUUUAUCGAGAGUUGGGCUGCCGGAGUUGUUUGUAGGAGCUGAGCCCACACCGUCAUCGCAGGAU